rnacentral:lncRNA from 1 species
CAAGCUAAACCUGGACUCUUCCUUCUUCUGAAUGUUGGCAUUGGACUCCACAGAAGGAAGCCCAUGGCUGAUUCAGCCAGGCUCUGCUGCUGAAGAUCUCGCCUGUUACCUUUGUGGAGAAUGGGCGCACCGUGAUUCAGUUAAGGAGUGUAGAAUCUUAUAGUGGGCAGUCGAGCUGAUUGAAGCAUCUUCCGUGAUCGGGAGCUCCAUAUGUAGGAGAAUGGAGAUGAGUAAUGGGUGCACUGGAGGUGGUUUAAGGAUUCUUCCGUGGUGACAAGAUGUCUGGUUGUCUCUCUGUGUUUGGCACAUAGAAACAAAUAAUGGACACAUUGAAGCUGAUUUAAGAAUUAUGCCUUGGUCAACAAUCUCUAUAUUUGUCUGUAGGAGCAUGGAAACCAACAUAGGAAUGGAGAAGAAGAGGCCCAGAUCUGGACCAAUGAUGAUGACUGGUGGCGUACGAGUCAUGAACGAUGAAUGCUACGUGUCUGGAAGUCUGAGGUCCAAGAUAAAACAAAAUCUAGUGUUUCUUCUCUCACAAGUGAC